CAUUCUUUUGCUCCACUUUACCGGAUUAAGGCACUAUCCAAAGGGAGCGUUGGUAAUGAUAUAUGCCAGAUCUAAACUAGAUAGGAAAAAAAAUGGUGGUUCUAGGUUGUUCUUGGCAGAUUUGGACCUGAACUUGGUUGUCUUACGGUGGUUGUGGUUGUUGCCGUUUUCUGGUAAAGUGGAGAACAGGUGUGCAACUUGAAAGUGGUCGAUCUUACGACAUGGGGUUUUGAAAAAGAUGUUGCAGAUGUAUGCAAGUACAGCAAAAUUUGCAUGCAGGAGGGCGGUGGUGGCCUCUCAUUGGGCUAGGUAGAAAUCGGGUUAUGCUAAUUACACAUGGCUUGGUUGGCUGAGUCAUUCACUUUCACCUCAUGAAAAUCCUUCCUGUUUCUUUCUUUUCUUCUGAUUCUUUGUCGGAUUCCACUUAAGGCAACCGGAGGUGGAUACAGAGUUGCGGCCAUCUCUGACCGUUUUCGCUAUGGUACCAGCGUUCUCUUGCCACGCCAGCCCGGAGCUCCAAUUUCACAAUAUUAUUUAAGACUCUCAACUCAAUCGGAAUUAAGACGCCGAUAGAAUGAAGACGCAAUCAGCGAGGGUGUAGUUGACAAAUCCGACAACAAAUCCAGUGUCUUUAAUUAACGAUGGAAUUCAAACCUAUUUCAAUACUCAUGAUGGAAUUAAUAGCCAUCAUCAUUGAUUAACUUUGAUGUUUAGCCCGUAUGUCUCUAAGGAAUCUACGAACAGGCAUCUCAUAUGUUUGUUGUAUGCAUCAUUAUAACAUAAUUGGGUCAACAACUAAGUCAAAGGUUUAAGUUGAUCAAAACUCAUUACAAUGAACUUCUUAUAGCAUAUACCGAUCUUCGCCCCUAAAGCACAGUUGGUUUUAGACCACCUCUUCUACCCAUUAGCGUUAUGAAGCAAGCAUCCCUCUAUACCCUACCGCACCACCAUUGCUCCUAUUCCAAUACCGUUAAUUGUUGAAGUUGUCGCCGCCGCUACCUGGUUUAAACGUUAUCGCCGGUGUUAUAUACCACCAUCUCGCCUUAUUAUCUCCGUUGCUGCUACAUGUCGUUUAAGGAAAGGAAGUUGCGAGGGCGAUUGUUCAGUUGGGAGAGACUUAUGAGAGGAUAGAAAUCAUGAAGCGGGAGGAUAUGGUAAAGUUGGAGAAUCAAAAGAUGGAGUUUACUAGAAAAUAUGAGCUUCAUAUGUUGAACAUGUUUAUGGAGAGUCAAGUUGAGCUUAAGAGGAUGAAUAAUAAAAAGAAGAGAUCAUCUGCUACAAGUUAAAGUGUGUGAUAUAUGUGGAAAUGCAGGGCGUGAGGACUUACUUGCUAUAUGAUGUAGAUGUCUGGAUGGUGCGGAGCACACAAUGCGAAAUGGAGGAAACUAAAAUCACAAACCGACAAGAAUAACACAGGGACUUCAACUGAAAAGACCAGUCUUCGCAUUCAAAAGUUGCGAAAGCACAUGGAAAAAAGACUUGCAGACAAAUUAGAUUCGUCUUUUAAAAACUGGCUCUUGAGAUCCCAGGGUCAUGUAAAGACGUUGAGCGUGGGAAAGUGGAAGUUGACCAUCAGUUUUAUCAUUUUGGUAGUGAGUCUACAGAAGGGUCACAUUCUCUCGCGACACGCCCACGAUUAUAAUCUUUACUAGGUGACCUUCAACGGUUAAGGUAAGAAAAAACUUACAUUUUCGAGCUACGAACCGAACCGAGCUACGAAUCGAAGGUUAAAACACGAGAUGGAGUCAAGCUACUAAUACUUGACAACGACGGCAAACCUACGAAUAAAACAAAUAAUGUUGUUUAUAAAGAAAUCUUCAAUGAGUUGUGAUUUUUGGUUGUAUUCAUGUAUUUCAAUUAUUUGGUGUACUCUCUAUCAUUUCCGUUAAUAUUUCAACGUAUAUAUAAUUAAAAUAUUUA